CUAAGAUGAUCUUCUUCCCCAAGCUUUGAAAUCUUAAAUUCUUCCACUUCCAAGUUGCAGAAUUUACGGGAUGUCAUCGUCUUUUAGUUGUGGUAUUUCAUCCUUACCCGAAUUUGAGAAAAAUUUUCGAUGUAAAUGUGGUAAUUUACUGCCCAUCAAAAUGUCAUGGAGUUAUGCUAACCCGGGGAAAAGAUACCUAGCUUGUCCACGUUAUGGAGGUUAUUAAAACGGCUAGACAAGAAUGACACGGAGAUUCAAAAAUUGAAGUACACAAUUGAGAAGGAAGAAAUUGAAAUCCAAAAACUUAGCUUGAAGGUCAUGAAAAUGAAGUUUCAAAAGCAAACUGGAGGUGACAAUAAGUUCAAUUUUACAAAGGUGUUGCAUGCAGUUUGGUGGUAGCAACCAUUUUCGUUCAAUUUGUGUGCAAAAUGCAUAUCAUGGAAAAUGAAAAUGUAAAACUUCUUCAAUUAAAUUAGGUAGUUAUGUGAGCACAAUAUUGUGUAAUGUUAGAUUGUGUAAUGUAUGGAUUGACAACAGUGUAUAAUGUUAGAUUGUGUAAUGCAUGAUUUGAAUUAAAUUAA